rnacentral:rRNA from 1 species
UAAAAUGAGAGUUUGAUCCUGGCUCAGGACGAACGCUGGCGGCGUGCCUAAUACAUGCAAGUCGAACGAAACUUUCU